CUAAAAGGUGGAUAGAGAGAGUAGAGAGAUAGAGAGAAGAAGAAAGAAGAAGAAGAAGAAGAAGAUCUUAGAACAGGAAGAAGAGGAUAGCAAAUCUAGAACUGGAGAUUGAUACCCUAGCUUGAGCUUUUGAGAGAUUGAGAUUAGCAGGUUGCUUGUAUCAAGGGGAGGCAGAUAUGCGGUCGAAUGGAUUAUCGCCAAGAGCUCGUCUCGUACCAGAUGAAGAUAUUCUAUGAUUUCAAAUACUUAUCAAAUAUAUGUAUUUGACAGUUGAUAUUUUUAUCAGAUGUAUGGCCUUAUAUUGAUGUAUACAUUCAUUUGGUCGAAAUUAUGUUGUAAUUUUAAUGUAUCCAGUACUAAGUUAACGCACAUGCUAAAUAUUCUAGAUAAAUUUAGUAUGGGUGUUACAUUUUUCUUAAAUGAGAUGAUGAUGUUAUGACUUGUA